UAGCUCACCUGUCACAAAGUGACAGGGUGAGCUUUUUGUGAUCGCUUUUCGUCCGGCGUCCGUCCGUCGUCCGUCCGUCCGUAAACUUUUGCUUUAAAUGACAUCUCCUCAUAAACCACUGAGCCAAUUUCAUCCAAACUUCAGAGGAAUGUUCCUUUGGUGGUCACCUUUAAAAAUUGUUCAAAGAAUUUAAUUCCAUGCAGAACUCUGGUUGCCAUGGCAACCAAAGAAUUUUUUUAAAAUAUCUUCUUUUAAAAAACCAUAAGAGCUAGAGCUUAGAUAUUUGGCAUGAAACAUCUUCUAGUGAAUGUCUAUCAAGUUUGUUCAAAUAAAAGCCCUGGGGUCAAAAUUGGCCCCGCCCCUGGGGGUCAUUGAUUUUCCCUAUAUACAUAUAGUAAAAACUUAAAAAAUCUUCUUUUAAAGAACCGUAAGAGCUAGAGCUUAGAUAUUUGGCAUGAAACAUCUUCUAGUGAAUGUCUACCAAGUUUGUUCAAAUAAAAGCCCUGGGGUCAAAAUUGGCCCCGACCCAGGGGGUCAUUGAUUUUCCCUAUAUGCAUAUAGUAAAAACUUAAAAAAUCUUCUUUUAAAGAACCCAAAGAGCUAGAGCUAAGAUAUUAAGCAUGAAACAUCUUCUAGUGAGUGUCUACCAAGUUUGUUCAAAUUAAAGCCCUGGGGUCAAAAUUGGCCCCGCCCCGGGGAUCAUUGAUUUUCCCUAUAUGCAUAUGGUAAAAACUUAAAAAAUCUUCUUUUAAAGAACCAUAAGAGCUAGAGCUUAGAUAUUUGGCAUGAAACAUCUUCUAGUGAAUGUCUACCAAGUUUGUUCAAAUAAAAGCCCUGGGGUCAAAAUUGACCCUGCCCCAGGGGGUCAUAGAUUUUCCCUAUAUGCAUAUAGUAAAAACUUAAAAAAUCUUCUUUUAAAGAACCCAAAGAGCUAGAGCUAAGAUAUUUAGCAUGAAACAUCUUCUAAUGAGUGUCUACCAAGUUUGUUCAAAUAAAACCUCUGGGGUCAAAAUUGGCCCCGCCCCAGGGGGUCAUUGAUUUUCCCUAUAUGCAUAUAGUAAAAACUUAAAAAAAUUUCUUUUAAAGAACUCAAAGAGCUAGAGCUAAGAUAUUAAGCAUGAAACAUGUUCUAAUGGGUGUCUACCAAGUAUGUUCAAAUAAAA